rnacentral:snRNA from 1 species
CGAUGUGGGGGCCAUCUGGCAGCCACCUCUGUCACCUCAUCGACCACCAGGGUUGAUUCCGUUGAUACGGCUGGCUAGGAAUCAUCCUAGGUCCCCAUCCUCCCUCCCCCGCCCGCUCCAUGCAUACCCCUCGCAAAGCGCAUGCUCAGUCAAAGAGGGCGACCUUCCCUUAAUGGAGGAGAAGCUGUCUUCGGCCAAGGGUGUAGGAGUAGCUGAGCUCUCCUGCUAGAACCUCCAAACAAGCUCUCGAGACAGAUGAGGCUUUAGCAAGCAGCUUUCAAAGUCCUUUAUUUCGAUGCUGGAGGAUCAGACCAGUGACGGU